rnacentral:rRNA from 1 species
ACGCUCGACACCUACGGGAGGCAGCAGUGGGAAUAUUGCACAAUGGGGGAAACCCUGAUGCAGCGACGCCGCGUGAAGGAAGAAGUAUCUCGGUAUGUAAACUUCUAUCAGCAGGGAAGAAAAUGACGGUACCUGACUAAGAAGCCCCGGCUAACUACGUGCCCGCAGCCGCGGUAAUCUGAGCGGGCUGGCAAGGC